AAUAGAUACCCUGGUAGUCCACGCCGUAAACGUUGGGCACUAGGUGUGGGGAGCCGUCAACGCUCUCUGUGCCGUAGCUAACGCAUUAAGCACUCCGCCUGGGGGAGUACGGCCGCAAGGCUGAAACUCAAAGGAAUUGACGGGGGGCCCGCACAAGCGGUGGAGCAUGUGGUUUAAUUCGAAGCAACGCGAAGAACCUCACCAGGUCUUGACAUCCUCUGACACUCCUAGAGAUAGGACGUUCCCCGUUCGGGGGACAGAGUGACAGGUGGUGCAUGGUUGUCGUCAGCUCGUGUCGUGAGAUGUUGGGUUAAGUCCCGCAACGAGCGCAACCCUUGAUCUUAGUUGCCAGCAUUCAGUUGGGCACUCUAAGGUGACUGCCGGUGACAAACCGGAGGAAGGUGGGGAUGACGUCAAAUCAUCAUGCCCCUUAUGACCGUGGGCUACGACACGUGCUACAAUGGAUGGUACAAAGGGCAGCGAAGCCGCGAGGCUAAGCCAAUCCCAUAAAACCAUUCUCAGUUCGGAUU
rnacentral:rRNA from 1 species